rnacentral:rRNA from 1 species
GACGAACGCUGGCGGCGUGCUUAACACAUGCAAGUCGAACGGAAAGGCCUGCUUUCCCUUGUGGAUUGCGGGUACUCGAGUGGCGAACGGGUGAGUAACACGUGAGUGGUCUGCCCCCAACUUGGGUAUAAGCCUGGGAAACUGGGUCUAAUUCCCGAUAGGACUGCAGGGUGGUGCCUGUGGUGGAUAACGAUUUUCUAGUGGUUGGGGAUGAGCUCGCGGCCUAUCAGCUUGUUGGUGGGGUAAUGGCCUACCAAGGCGGCGACGGGUAGCCGGCCUGAGAGGGUGGACGGCCACAUUGGGACUGAGAUACGGCCCAGACUCCUACGGGAGGCAGCAGUGGGGAAUAUUGCACAAUGGGCGGAAGCCUGAUGCAGCGACGCCGCGUGGGGGAUGACGGCCUUCGGGUUGUAAACUCCUUUCGACCGCGAGGAAGCCACCUGGUUGGAAGGGUGGUGACGGUAGUGGUAGAAGAAGCACCGGCUAACUACGUG